AGCUUUGCGCAGUGGCAGUAUCGUAGCCAAUGAGGUUUAUCCGAGGCGCGAUUAUUGCUAAUUGAGGGGGGUUCUCUAUGCCUCCUGGAUUUUGAUGCUUGUUCCUUUUGCCAUAUUAGGGAAAUUCUCUCCAAUAAUUAUCUCCAAU